GCGGAUGUGGCGAAACUGGCAGACGCACUAGACUUAGGAUCUAGCGGAGUAAUCCAUGUAGGUUCGAUUCCUAUCAUCCGCACAA
rnacentral:tRNA from 1 species